rnacentral:rRNA from 1 species
UUUAAAUUGAGAGUUUGAUCCUGGCUCAGGACGAACGCUGGCGGCGUGCUUAACACAUGCAAGUCGAGCGAUGAAAUCCCUUCGGGGGUGGAUUAGCGGCGGACGGGUGAGUAACACGUGGGCAACCUGCCUCAAAGUGGGGGAUAGCCUCCCGAAAGGGAGAUUAAUACCGCAUAAUAUUAGUUUUUCACAUGAAAGAUUAAUUAAAGGAGUAAUCCGCUUUGAGAUGGGCCCGCGGCGCAUUAGCUAGUUGGUGAGGUAACGGCUCACCAAGGCCACGAUGCGUAGCCGACCUGAGAGGGUGAUCGGCCACAUUGGAACU